rnacentral:tRNA from 2 species
UCCGGCGUAGCUCAGUGGUAGAGCAUCGGACUGUUAAUCCGCUGGUCGCUGGUUCGAAUCCAGCCGCCGGAGCCA